AGUGAACGCUGGCGGUAGGGCGAACACAUGUAACUCUAAUGUCCGCACUGUAAGAGUGUGCUUUUAUGGGUGGCGAGUGGCGGCCGGGCGCGGAAAACCUUGGUAUCUACUUCUUCGUGGGGGGCUACGACGGGCAACCGACGCUAAUACAGCAUACUACCUACGGGUGAAACAAGGGACCCUACGCCCUUCGCGCGAUCCAUUGAGCCGAAGUCGUAUUAGCUAGUUGGCGGGGUAAAGGCCCACCAAGGCGACGAUCCGUAGCUGGUCUGAGAGGAUGAUCAGCCACACUGGAACUGAGACACGGUCCAGACUCCUACGGGAGGCAGCAGUGGGGAAUAUUGGACAAUGGGCGCAAGCCUGAUCCAGCCAUACCGCGUGGGUGAAGAAGGCCUUCGGGUUGUAAAGCCCUUUUGUUGGGAAAGAAAAGCAGCAGGUUAAUACCCCGCUGUUCUGACGGUACCCAAAGAAUAAGCACCGGCUAACUUCGUG
rnacentral:rRNA from 1 species